rnacentral:rRNA from 1 species
GACGAACGCUGGCGGCGUGCUUAACACAUGCAAGUCGAACGGAAAGGCCCUGCUUUUGUGGGGUGCUCGAGUGGCGAACGGGUGAGUAACACGUGAGUAACCUGCCCUUGACUUUGGGAUAACUUCAGGAAACUGGGGCUAAUACCGGAUAGGAGCUCCUGCUGCAUGGUGGGGGUUGGAAAGUUUCGGCGGUUGGGGAUGGACUCGCGGCUUAUCAGCUUGUUGGUGGGGUAGUGGCUUACCAAGGCUUUGACGGGUAGCCGGCCUGAGAGGGUGACCGGCCACAUUGGGACUGAGAUACGGCCCAGACUCCUACGGGAGGCAGCAGUGGGGAAUAUUGCACAAUGGGCGCAAGCCUGAUGCAGCGACGCCGCGUGGGGGAUGACGGCCUUCGGGUUGUAAACUCCUUUCGCAAUCGAAGAAGCCUUUUGGUGACGGUAGGUUGAGAAGAAGCACCGGCUUACUACGUG